rnacentral:rRNA from 1 species
AACGAACGCUGGCGGCAUGCCUAACACAUGCAAGUCGAACGAGACCUUCGGGUCUAGUGGCGCACGGGUGCGUAACGCGUGGGAACUUGCCCUUAGGUUCGGAAUAACUCCCCGAAAGGGGUGCUAAUACCGGAUAAUGUCUUCGGACCAAAGAUUUAUUGCCUUUGGAUGGGCCCGCGUUGGAUUCGCUAGUUGGUAGGGUAAAAGCCUACCAAGGCGACGAUGCAUAGCUGGUCUGAGAGGAUGAUCAGCCACACUGGGACUGAGACACGGCCCAGACUCCUACGGGAAGCAGCAGUGGGGAAUAUUGUACAAUGGGCGAAAGCCUGAUCCAGCAAUGCCGCGUGAGUGAUGAAGGCCUUAGGGAAGUAAAGCUCUUUUACCCGGGAUGAUAAUGACAGUACCGGGAGAAUAAGCUCCGGCUAACUCCGUG